UCUGGUUGAUCCUGCCAGAGGUUACUGCUAUCGAGGUUCGACUAAGCCAUGCGAGUCGAAUGUAGCAAUACAUGGCGAACUGCUCAGUAACACGUGGACAACCUGCCCUUAGGUUGGGUAUAAACCCGGGAAACUGGGUAUAAUACCCGAUAGGUCUCGAUUGCUGGAAUGCAUCGAGAUUUAAAGCUCCGGCGCCUAAGGAUGGGUCUGCGGCCUAUCAGGUAGUAGUGGGUGUAGCGUACCUACUAGCCUACGACGGGUACGGGUUGUGAGAGCAAGAGCCCGGAGAUGGAUUCUGAGACACGAAUCCAGGCCCUACGGGGUGCAGCAGGCGCGAAAACUUUACAAUGCUGGCAACAGCGAUAAGGGAACCUCGAGUGCCAGGUUACAAAUCUGGCUGUCGAGAUGCCUAAAAAGCAUUUCAUAGCAAGGGCCGGGCAAGACCGGUGCCAGCCGCCGCGGUAACACCGGCGGCUCGAGUGGUAACCGUUAUUAUUGGGUCUAAAGGGUCUGUAGCCGGCCGGAUAAGUCUCUUGAGAAAUCUGGCAGCUUAACUGUCAGGCUUUCAGGAGAUACUGUCUGGCUCGAGGCCGGGAGAGGUGAGAGGUACUUCAGGGGUAGGGGUGAAAUCUUGUAAUCCUUGAAGGACCACCAGUGGCGAAGGCGUCUCACCAGAACGGACCUGACGGCAAGGGACGAAAGCUAGGGGCACGAACCGGAUUAGAUACCCGGGUAGUCCUAGCCGUAAACGAUACUCGCUAGGUGUCGGCCACGGUGCGACCGUUGUCGGUGCCGUAGGGAAGCCGUGAAGCGAGCCACCUGGGAAGUACGGCCGCAAGGCUGAAACUUAAAGGAAUUGGCGGGGGAGCACCACAACGGGUGGAGCUUGCGGUUUAAUUGGGAUUCAACGCCGGAA
rnacentral:rRNA from 1 species